AACUAACCUAACAUGGUAAAUCAACUGUACUUCAAUGAAAAGUUAAGAAAGUUGAAAACAAACAAUAUUCAUUUGAAAUCAGAUUAAAAAGAAAAGACAUCCUACAAGCUUUUGUUAAUUGAGUCCAUGGAGGUCUUUUUAGAGCAAAGUCCUGGCUGUGCCUACAUCACUGCCUCACAGCUCUUCAGACAUUAGUGGAUCCCAACUUUGGGGCUCCCAAGACUACAGCCGAUCCUGAAGUGAGGUGGAGGGAACAGGGUGAUUUUCUCAAAAGGUGCACCUAGGACUGCCUAAGUCUGGUACAGUUUCGUAAGCCUAUUUAUCGGAAUGCCACAUGAGCAGCUGGACUUUUGAGGGUGAAGAAUGAGUGCAUUUCCAGGCAGGUCAUCCUUGCACACAAAUCACUAGCAGCUAGAAAGCCUCAAAGGUGUAUGAACCGUGGGCCUUACCAUUUGCAUCAGUGCGUUCUUUCCCCAGUGCUCCUUUAUUCAUUUAGAUUGUGUGAAAGCAACUGUUUAAGACACAUGGUCCGCUCUCUACGCCAGCCCUUCAAGAUGCCGAAGGGGAAGAAAGUGGCCCCAGCCCCGGCCAUGGUGAAGAAGCGGGAGGCCAAGAAGGUGGUCAUCCCCCUUUUCGAGAAGAGGCCCAAGAAUUUUGGCAUCGGGCAGGACAUCCAACCCAAGAGGGACCUCACCCGCUUUGUCAAAUGGCCCCACUACAUCCGGCUGCAGCGGCAAAGGGCUAUUCUCUAUAAGCAGCUGAAAGUGCCUCCUGCAAUUAACCAAUUCAUCCAGGCCUUGGACCAACACACAGCUACUCAGCUGCUUAAGCUGGCCCACAGGUACAGACCAGAGAUAAAGCGAGAGAAGAAGCAGAGGCUGCUGGCCCGAGCUGAGAAGAAAGCUGUUGGCAAAGGUGAUGCCCCCACCAAGAGGCCACCUGUCCUUUGAGCAGGGGUCAGCACUGUCACCACCCUGGUGGAGAACAAGAAGGUGCAGCUGGUGGUGAUCGCUCACGAUGUGGAUCCCAUCGAGCUCGUGGUCUUCCUGCCCGCCCUGUGCCGCAAGAUGGGGGUUCCCUACUGCAUCAUCAAGGGCAAGGCCCAGCUGGGGCGCCUGGUCCACAGGAAGACGUGCACCACCUUAGCCUUCACACAAGUCAACUUGGAGGACAAGAGUGCCCUGGCCAAGCUGGUGGAAGCCAUCAGGACCAAUUACAAUGACAGAUACGAUGAGAUCCGUCAUCACUGGGGAGGCAGUGUCCUGGGGCCAAAGUCAGUGGCUCGCAUCACCAAGCUGGAAAAGGCGAAGGCCAAAGAGCUGGACACCAAGCUGGGCUGAGUGUACACUAUUGAGUUUUCUGUACAUAAAAGUAAUAAAAAAGAUUCUUAAAAAAAAAAAAAAA